rnacentral:tRNA from 1 species
GGAAGUGUGCCCGAGUAAGGACUACAUUGAUAGCGUAGACACGGAGCCCACAAACUCCCGCUUCCC